GAAGAAUAUCCAAUAAUUUGAAAUUUUGUAUUGAAAAAGAAGAAAUAGAGAUAGUUAAACAUUAUAAAUACCUUGGUGUUAUUUUUUCUAGAAAUUCAUCUUUUUUCGAAACUAGAAAAUAUUUACGAGACCAAGCAACUAAGGCUAUGUAUAGUGUUAUCAAGAAGAGCAGAUUGAAUCACUUAUCGAUUGAAUGCCAACUAGAAAUGUUUGAUAAAGCUGUUGUACCCAUUCUUCUAUACGGGGCUGAAAUUUGGGGAUACGAAAAUUUUGAUAUACUUGAGCGAGUUCAUUUGAAAUUCUGUAAGCACAUUUUAAAACUUAAAAACUCGACUCCAAAUUUUAUGAUUUAUGGAGAACUUGGGAGAUACCCCAUUUCUUUAUAUGCAAAAUUACGAAUGAUCAAUUUUUGGUGUCGCCUUCUUGAUAAUACAAAUGAAAAUAAAUUAUCCUGUAUACUAUAUAAAUUACUAUACAUUAAUUAUAACAAUUAUGGUAUUGGAAAUAAAUGGAUUUUAUGUAUUAAGAAAAUUUUUGAUGAAUGUGGCAUGUCAAAUGUAUGGCAUUGCCAAGAUUAUUUUAACAAAAAAUGGAUAAAAUUAAGUAUUGAGCAAAAGCUUAAAGACCAAUUUCGACAAGAGUGGUGUGCAGAUUUACAUCAAUCUUCAAAAGGUUUAUGUUAUAGAAUUUUCAAGACUGAAUUUAAAUUUGAAAAGUAUUUGUCGACUUUGCCUUUUAAUUUUUUAUAUACUUUGUGUAAAUUUAGAUGCGGAAAUCAUCGUUUGCCAGUGGAGACAGGAAGGUGGCAAACUAUUCCGAGAUCGGAAAGGUCUUGUAAUCUCUGUAGCUCUAAAGAUAUUGGCGAUGAAUUUCACUACAUUAUGUCAUGCAAUUGUUUUAACAUAGAAAGAGAAAAAUAUUUACCACACUAUUGUAACAAAAAUGCAAACAUUAUUAAAUAUAAAAAUGUAUUCUCAUCUGAAAAUGUUGUAGAACUAGAAAAAUUGUGUAGAUUUAUACGAUAUAUAUCAUUGAAAGUCUGUCCUCCUGGUUAGAGGAAC
rnacentral:lncRNA from 1 species